rnacentral:rRNA from 1 species
CGACGUCGCGUGAGGGAUGAAGUCUUUCGGGACGUAAACCUCUUUUAUCGGGGAAGAAACAAAUGACGGUACCCGGUGAAUAAGCCCCGGCUAACUACGUGC